UCCCGUUUCUCGCGGCUUGAGGCAUAUUUACUCGGGAUUUCCAGUCGUUGAGUUUGCAUCACGAUCCUACUCUCUAUCAUAACUCAGACACAUGUUGACAUUUUCGAUGAGGGAACUUCACAAUAGUUAGCAUGCCUAUUAAGGUUUAAAGAAAAUCAAGAUACUUUCCUUAGAGUCUUAAGCGUUGUAAUUAUCGAACUUUGCAACAUUGACAAUAGUUUGAUAUUUGAAGAGAAUACACUUUGAUUUACACAAGGCGUAUAUCCCAUUUUAAAUAAAAUAUGCUAACUCUGAAAUUACAAGUUAAGAAAAUGUUUCAGAUAGAAGUUUUAGUGAUUUCAAAAAUAAUGCAUGAUAAUGCUAUUGGUUUGACUUUGCGUUGGACGCGCUAUGAUGUCUUCAAGAUUUAUUGAUGCAAAAAUUAGUAUCAUCAAUUUGUAUAUGUAUAUAUAGGUCGUCAUAUAUAUGCUAUAUUGAUUUAUUAACAAUCUCUAUAAUCAGUGAUAUUAUUAGUAUAAUAGUAGUAUAUAUAGUUACUGAUGUCAGGCAAGCUACAACUUAGUUAACACCUGAUAAAAUAUUUUUAUUGCAUAUAUAAUAAAUUAAAAAGAGAAUCAAUAUAUAAUUUACAGUGUAAGUAGAUAUAUAUGGCAAAAAUAAUAUAUUUCAAUAUUUAAUGGCAUUGUUAUUAUAACAUUUGCCUAAAAUCCACAAAAUAAAACUAGAAAUCGCUCAUACUAUUGACUUUUUUCAGCUGCACUUUGUUGUUCUAUAUAAUGUCCUAUGGUUGUUGAAAGACUUUGCAUGCCAUUGCUCACAUGACUAGGAGUUUCAGAUACGAAUUUCAUACUUGCUAUGACUCCUUUAUUCCAUGUUGAUUUUGCAGAGUUGCAGAGCUCAUUAGUACUCAGCAUUGGUGGAAGCUGUAUACAAUGAUUUAAUUUAAAUUCUUUUUUAUAACAAUCUUAAUAAAGUAUUAAAGAAGAUGAUAUAAAACACAAAGCAUUAAAUUUAUCAUGUGUAUAAAUAUAAAUAUUUUUAAUAUAAA